AGCAUGUGUAGAGUUCUGUUACUCUUUCAUUAGCUCUUAUUAUUACCUUUGUUAUUGUUACUGUCUAACUACUGAACACCCAUUUCUUUUCCUAUGCCUAAAGUAGGUAGAUCUUAAUUGGUCUCCUGAUGAUUCAACAUUGGCUAGUGGCAGCUUGGAUAAUACUAUUCACAUAUGGAACAUGACCAAUGGUAUGUGCACUGCUGUCUUGAGAGGGCAUUCCAGCUUGGUCAAAGGUGUUACCUGGGAUCCUAUUGGCUCUUUCAUUGCAAGCCAAUCAGAUGAUAAGACCGUUAUAAUAUGGCGUACAAGUGACUGGAGUCUUGCUCACAAGGCUGAAGGCCAUUGGGAAAAAUCUGUAUGUUGUUUCCUGAAUUUUAUAAUUUAUUGUGAUCAACAUGCCCUCAAUGCAAAACUUUCUUACUUUCCUUCUUCCUGCAGCUUGGUUCUACAUUUUUUAGGCGACUUGCAUGGUCACCAUGCGGACACUACAUUACUACGACUCACGGCUUCCAGAAACCUAGGCAUUCAGCCCCUGUGCUUGAAAGAGGCGAAUGGUCUGCUACAUUUGACUUUCUAGGGCAUAACGCUCCUAUUGUGGUGGUUAAGUUUAAUAAUUCAAUGUUCCGCAAGAAUUUCUCAAAUGGUCAAGACACAAAAGUUGCACCAGCUGGUUGGGCCAAUGGAACAUCAAAGACAUCUUCAAAAGAACAGCAACCAUAUAAUGUUAUUGCUAUUGGAAGUCAGGACAGAACAAUUACUGUUUGGACAACAGCGAGUGCGCGGCCAUUGUUUGUUGCUAAACAUUUUUUUUCUCAAAGUGUGGUUGAUUUGUCUUGGUAAGGCAUCACGUUUGUUCCUUUAUGUAGUUAAUAUUACCCAUAUACCCAAGCUCAUGGUGAUAAUCUGCUUUUCACUUGACAGGAGCCCUGAUGGUUAUUCACUUUUUGCAUGCUCCUUGGAUGGAUCUGUCGCCAACUUUCACUUUGAAGCAAAGGAGCUUGGAUACAAGUUAAGUGAUUCUGAACUGGAUGAAUUGAAGAGGAGUAGAUAUGGUGAUGUCAGAGGACGGCAAUCAAAUCUGGCUGAAAGCCCUGCACAGUUACUGCUAGAAGAAGCAUCAGCAAAGCAAUCGGCUAGCAAAAAGGGGACUUCCAUUGUCCAGCAAUUUCAAGCGCCUCCAAAAGUUUCUGCAGAUGUGCCUAACCCAGCUCCUGUUGUGCAAAGUCAGAAAGCUCCAGAAGCUUUACCUGAAGCUGAGAAGAAAACAUCAGGUCCUGCUGCUGAUGAUAUGAGUAAAGUUACUCAGUUAUCAAGUCCAGUGAAGCAGAAGGAAUACCGGCGUCCUGAUGGCCGGAAAAGAAUAAUCCCAGAGGCUGUUGGAUUUCCUUCCAACCAGGAUAACAUACCCAGCCGUUCUCACAACCAGGUUGUGGAUUUUUCAUCCCUAGAUCAGCGAAUGAAUGGGAUACGACCAUCUUAUGGUAGUAACAGUAACUGUAACAACUCUGGAGUUAAGGAUCGCUCUGGUGUCACAGCAAGGGCGAACAUUACAGAGAGUCUUGUUAUUCAAAAGGCUUUAACUAGUGAUAGAAUUUUGAGUGUAGAACGCACUGGAUCUGUUGUUCCGGGCUCUUUGACCUGCUCCGCACUUUCUAUACAUGUGUUAGAUAAGAAAGGCAAUGAGGAUUCCUUGCCAGUCUGCCUUGAAGCAAAGCCUGUAGAACACGCUGCAGGUGAUAUGACUGGUGUCGGUGGUGCCUAUUCAACAAAAGAAACUGAGAUAAGGUGUACAAGAGGAGCAGAAACUCUUUGGUUGGAUCGUAUAUCGGCAAAGGUUACUGUCUUGGCAGGCAAUGCAAAUUUCUGGGCUGUUGGCUGUGAAGAUGGUUACCUCCAGGUGAGUAAUGUUUUCUUAUCUGAAUUUCUUUUAGAUUGAUAUUAUUUUUUUUUAAAAAAUGGAUGCUACCGCCCCUCCUUUUUAAGUCGCAUACACAACUGAAGAUUUGAACUUUUAAUUGUUGAGUAACAACUCCAAGAACUUGUAGAUUAGAUUAUACCAUGCAAAUUAAGUAUGAUUUCAAAUUUCAUGGUUAUAAACAUUAUAAUAUAUAUGAGAUAUUGACGGUCAAAGUGUGGCAUUGGAGACCACACCAGGUCAAACUGCUCCUUCCAUUUUGAAAAUGAGGGAGUACUAUGUAACCCCAGUCAAUUAUUAUUGCAAUAGGCUUUUGUGUUCUCACAAUCGACUGCACUUCAUUUACUAGGUUUACACAAAAUGUGGAAGACGAGCAAUGCCAGCAAUGAUGAUGGGAUCUGCAGCCAUUUUUAUAGACUGUGACGACUGCUGGAAAUUGCUUCUUGUCACAAGAAGAGGUCUAAUGUACAUAUGGGACCUCUAUAACAGGACCUGCAUUUUGCAGGAUUCAUUGGCUUCUUUGGUUGCAUCCCCAGAUGAGUCGUCAGCAAAUCAUGCUGGUAACUAUUUGUACAUCCACUCUUCAGUUCUCAUGUACAGCCUGAGAUGGCUAUUCUGAAUUUGCUGCAUCUUAGUGUUUUCUGAAAUACUUGGUGCUUAGUAGUUAUGUUUGCCAUGUUGACAGGUGCAGUAAAGGUUAUAUCUGCUAAAUUCUCAAGAUGUGGUUUUCCCUUAGUUGUCCUUGCCAGCCGCCAUGCGUUUCUUUUUGACAUGAGCAUGAAGUGCUGGUUAAGGAUUGCUGAUGAUUGUUUUCCAGCAUCAAAUUUUGCUAGCUCAUUUAGUUCCCCCCAAGGUGGAGAGCUAGGCAAGUUGCAGGUUGAUAUAAGCAAGUUCAUGGCUAGAAAGCCUAUAUGGAGCAGGUCUGCAUGCAGCUUCGAUUGCCUUAGUAUUAUGCCUGUGGCAUGCUAAUGCACUGCAUAUCAGAGUUUUCUCAAAACAGUUUUUGUUUCAGGGUUACAGAUGAUGGUUUGCAGACACGUGCCCAUUUAGAGACCCAGUUGGCAGCUUCUUUGGCUUUGAAGUCACCACAGGAGUACCGCCAGUGCCUCCUAUCCUACAUACGGUUUCUGGCAAGGUUAGUUAUGUGGGGUUCAGCUGUGUCUGUUGAACUGUCUGAGAAAAUGUCAAUGUAUAUCCUUGUCUGAUGGAAAUUAGUUGGUGACAAUUUACUGACAUGUUUCUUUUCUUUUUCUUUAUUUAUUUUUCUUCUUUACAUGCAGAGAAGCAGACGAAUCUCGUCUACGUGAGCUUUGUGAGAGCUUCCUAGGUCCUCCCAUGGGCAUGCUUGGAUAUGCGUCAUCUAUGGAUCCCAAAAAUCCAGCCUGGGAUCCUGAUGUUCUCGUAAGUAUUUCUUUGUCUUGCCAUGUGCAUAAUAGACUCAUCCACUUUCUAGAUAACCAUGAGGGUUCGUGAACUGUAAAUAGAUGAUGCUCCAGUUCUCAUAUUCUUAGUGUACAUGAUCUUCAGUUUGUAAAAGUAACCAAUGGCAAUUGUACAGGGAAUGAAGAAGCACAAACUCCUCAGGGAAGACAUACUUCCAUCGAUGGCAUCGAACCGGAAAGUCCAGCGGCUUCUCAAUGAGUUUAUGGACCUCCUAUCAGAGUAUGAAGCUGCUAAGAGCAAAGUUGACCCAAUAGAUGUCACACCAGCACCACAACCAGCGCCUGAAGUCAAUGACGACAUGGUCACCUCGUAGCGCCCCCAGUCUGGUUGCUGGCGACUUGCUGAUCUCUCAGUAAGUAUGAUAGGAUAGCAAUCUUGAUAAGUCGUUAUAUGAACCAAUCAAUUAGUUGUGCUUGUAACUGGUAGAUUGUUUAGCGAGGGAGGUGACCUCGCAAACACUGAUUUUGAACCCGUUAGCUGUAACGCUGUGUAACAGUAGAAAAAGGAGGCUGAGGUCGCCUGGUGAUUAUUGUGUAACAGUAAAGGCUGGUUAAACUCAUUCCCUUUUUUGUUUCGAAAGCAAUAUUGGUCUUUGAUGAUUGUUCCGUAUGCAGUGCUGGCCCAUUGGUCGUGUGUAUUUUGGCGAAAACUAACGUCGUCAUAACUCGUAUCAGCUUUACAUUGUUCCAAGAAAAACGGACACUAACAUUUCUUAGAGGAACAGAACAUGAGCAUUUCAGUAAUCAUGAUCGGGCGGGCAGACCAUAAACAUCUGGUUAGCUUUAAGUUGGGUGAUCCUUUAGAUAGAGCAGCUUUUAUAUGUGUCAACAGAAACUGAAAAAGGUUUGAAUUAAUCGAUGAAGUGAUCAGUUGGAGAGGAACUCGCGGAUCUUGGGCCUGAAAGUCUCGGCGAUCGUGGCCCAGGCGGCAUGCAUGGGGUGGACGUUAGCCCAUGGCCGCUAUCUGGCUUUUGGACCAGAUGAUCAGGUUAUCCUAAUCCAUGACUGAAAAUCUUGUUCUGGAACAUCUGAGUUUGGUAGUGGGGAACCUCCAGAUGUAGAGAAUUGGAAGGUUGUUAUGACCUUAAGAGUGCAUAAUGCAGACGUGGUAAUUAUCUUCCAUAAUUGCACCCAUGCUGUACAUCUUCCCUUGUUUUUCUUACAUAAGCAUUUGCAGAAUUUGUGCUGUUACUCUUUCUUUAGCUCUUAUUUAAUUACCUUCUGUUAUUGUUACUGCCUAACUAUUGAACACCAUUUUCUUUUCCUAUGCCUAAAGUAGGUGGAUCUUAAUUGGUCCCCAACAUUGGCUAGUGGCAGCUUGGAUAAUAUUGUUCACAUAUGGAACAUGGCCAAUGGUAUGUGCACUGCCGUCUUGAGAGGGCAUUCGCUUGGUCAAAGGUGUUACCUGGGAUCCUAUUGGCUCUUUCAUUGCAAGCCAAUCAGAUGAUAAGACUGUUAUAAUAUGGCGUACAAUCGACUGGAGUCUUGCUCACAAGACAGAAGGCCAUUGGGAAAAA
rnacentral:lncRNA from 1 species